rnacentral:rRNA from 1 species
GAAGCGGCAACAGCUCAAAUUUGAAAUCUGACCCUUUGGGGUCCGAGUUGUAAUUUGCAGAGGGUGUUUCGGGCACGGUGCCGGUUUAAGUCCUUUGGAACAGGGUGUCAUAGAGGGUGAGAACCCCGUAUGUGACCGGUCGCCAAACCUAUGUGAAACCCCUUCGACGAGUCGAGUUGUUUGGGAAUGCAGCUCAAAAUGGGUGGUAAAUUUCAUCUAAAGCUAAAUAUUGGCCAGAGACCGAUAGCGCACAAGUAGAGUGAUCGAAAGAUGAAAAGCACUUUGGAAAGAGAGUCAAACAGCACGUGAAAUUGUUGAAAGGGAAGCGCUUGCGACCAGACCUGUUCGCGGGUGAUCAGCGGUGCUUUUCGCGCCGUGCACUCAUCCGCGAUCAGGCCAGCAUCGGUUCAGGCGGCCGGACAAAGACUCGGAGAAUGUAGCUCCCUCCGGGGAGUGUUAUAGCUCCUUGUGCAAUACGGCCAGCCGGGACCGAGGACCGCGCU